AACGUAGGGGGCAAGCGUUGUCCGGAUUUACUGGGCGUAAAGGGCGCGUAGGCGGUCAGCACAAGUCAGUUGUGAAAUCUCCGGGCUUAACUCGGAAAGGUCAACUGAUACUGUGCGACUAGAGUGCGGAAGGGGCAACUGGAAUUCUCGGUGUAGCGGUGAAAUGCGUAGAUAUCGAGAGGAACACCUGCGGCGAAGGCGGGUUGCUGGGCCGACACUGACGCUGAUGCGCGAAAGCCAGGGGAGCGAACGGG
rnacentral:rRNA from 1 species